rnacentral:rRNA from 1 species
UUGAACGCUGGCGGAAUGCUUUACACAUGCAAGUCGAGCGGCAGCGCGGGGGCAACCCUGGCGGCGAGCGGCGAACGGGUGAGUAACAUAUCGGAACGUACCCUGUCGUGGGGGAUAACACAUCGAAAGGUGUGCUAAUACCGCAUACGACCUGAGGGUGAAAGCGGGGGAUCGCAAGACCUCGCGCGACAGGAGCGGCCGAUAUCGGAUUAGCUAGUUGGUGAGGUAAAGGCUCACCAAGGCGACGAUCCGUAGCGGGUCUGAGAGGACGACCCGCCACACUGGAACUGAGACACGGUCCAGACUCCUACGGGAGGCAGCAGUGGGGAAUUUUGGACAAUGGGGGCAACCCUGAUCCAGCCAUUCCGCGUGAGUGAAGAAGGCCUUCGGGUUGUAAAGCUCUUUCAGCAGGAACGAAACGGUGGCCCCUAAUACGGGCUACUAAUGACGGUACCUGAAGAAGAAGCACCGGCUAACUACGU